GACGAACGCUGGCGGCGUGCUUAACACAUGCAAGUCGAACGGAAAGGCACUGCUUUUGUUCGGUGCUCGAGUGGCGAACGGGUGAGUAACACGUAGGUAACCUGCCCUUUACUUUGGGAUAACUUUAGGAAACUAUAGCUAAUACCGCAUAAGAGCUGCUGCUGCAUGGUGUUUGCUGGAAAGUUUCGGUGGUUGCGGUUGCACUGGCGGCUUCUUUGCAUGUUGGUGGGGUUGUGGCUUAGCAAGGCUUUGGCGGGGAGCCGGCCUGGGAGGGUGACCGGCCACAGUGGGACUGAGAUACGGGCCAGAGUCAUACGGGAGGCAGCAGUGGGGAAUAGUGCAAAAUGGGCGGAAGCCUGAUGGAGCAACGUCGCGUGGGGGAUGACGGUUGUAGGGGUGUAAACCGCGUGAGCCUGGGACGAAGAGUGAGUGACGGUAAUGGAUAAAGAAGCACCGGCUAACUACGUA
rnacentral:rRNA from 1 species